rnacentral:tRNA from 1 species
GGGGUUGUGGCUUAGUGGUAGAGCGCUCACUUAGCAUGCGUGAGGCACUGGGUUUGAUCCUCAGCACCACA